rnacentral:miRNA from 1 species
GUGUGUGUGUGUGUGUGUGUGUGUGUGUGUGUAUACAAACACACAAACACACACACACACACACACACACACAC